UGGGGAAUUUUGGACAAUGGGCGCAAGCCUGAUCCAGCAAUGCCGCGUGCAGGAUGAAGGCCUUCGGGUUGUAAACUGCUUUUGUACGGAGCGAAAAGGUCUGCCCUAAUACGGUGGGCUCAUGACGGUACCGUAAGAAUAAGCACCGGCUAACUACGUGCCAGCAGCCGCGGUAAUACGGAGGAUCCAAGCGUUAUCCGGAAUCAUUGGGUUUAAAGGGUCCGUAGGCGGUUUAGUAAGUCAGUGGUGAAAGCCCAUCGCUCAACGAUGGAACGGCCAUUGAUACUGCUAGACUUGAAUUAUUAGGAAGUAACUAGAAUAUGUAGUGUAGCAGUGAAAUGCGUAGAUAUGCGGAGGAACACCGAUGGCGAAGGCAAUCCCCUGGGCCUGUACUGACGCUCAUACACGAAAGCGUGGGGAGCAAACA
rnacentral:rRNA from 1 species